rnacentral:rRNA from 1 species
GGCUUAACACAUGCAAGUCGAGGGGUAACAGGGAAAAGCUUGCUUUUUUGCUGACGACCGGCGAACGGGUGCGUAACGCGUAUAGAAUCUGCCUUGUACAGGAGGAUAGCCUUUAGAAAUGAAGAUUAAUACUCCAUAAUGUUGAGAGAUGGCAUCAUCUUUUAAUUAAAGAUUUAUCGGUACAAGAUGACUAUGCGUCCUAUUAGCUAGAUGGUAAGGUAACGGCUUACCAUGGCAACGAUAGGUAGGGGGUCUGAGAGGAUUAUCCCCCACACUGGUACUGAGACACGGACCAGACUCCUACGGGAGGCAGCAGUGAGGAAUAUUGGUCAAUGGAGGCAACUCUGAACCAGCCAUGCCGCGUGCAGGAAGACUGCCCUAUGGGUUGUAAACUGCUUUUAUACAGGAAGAAACUUAGUUACGUGUAACUAACUGACGGUACUGUAAGAAUAAGCACCGGCUAACUCCGUGCCAGCAGCGGGGG